AAUCAACGCUGGCGGCGUGCCUAACACAUGCAAGUCGCACGAGAAAGGGGAGCAAUCCCUGAGUAAAGUGGCGCACGGGUGAGUAACACGUGAAUCAUCUACCUCCGAGUGGGGAAUAACUGAGAGAAAUCUUAGCUAAUACCGCAUAACACUUACGAGUCAAAGCAGCAAUGCGCUUGGAGAGGAGUUCGCGGCCGAUUAGUUAGUUGGCGGGGUAAUGGCCCACCAAGACGAUGAUCGGUAUCCGGCCUGAGAGGGCGCACGGACACACUGGAACUGAAACACGGUCCAGACUCCUACGGGAGGCAGCAGUGGGGAAUUUUGCGCAAUGGGGGAAACCCUGACGCAGCAACGCCGCGUGGAGGAUGAAGUAUCUUGGUACGUAAACUCCUUUCGAUUGGGAAGAUAAUGACGGUACCAAUAGAAGAAGCCCCGGCUAACUUCGUGCCAGCAGCCGCGGUAAU
rnacentral:rRNA from 1 species